UCCUACCAGGUGCUCAAUCACUGCUUCAGGACAUGACUCAGUAUUUCUGCUACAGAUGCAAACACUGAAUACGUAAAAUAAUAAUAAUUUAUCUAAAAUAAGGCUUUAUAGGCUGUGUUACAAGAUUUGAAGAGUGGAGAGCAAAUUUCCUCUGACACCUAAUGACCCACCAGUUGAAAGAAGUGAAGGCAGCAUCACCUAUACGUGUGGGAGAUGUCCUAAACUGGCAUUUAUAUGCACGGCAAGCCUCUCCCAUGUUGCAGAAGAUAUGCUCCCAAGAGAACAGUCGUGGGCAGGUGUCAGUGUGACUUCCUUUGCAGAAAAAAAAAAAAUCUGUAAAACAAGCAGAAACCAACACCAGAGGCACCAGUGACCAUAUUCAUACUUCUGUAACUGAGACAAAAUUCUCAGCUAGUACUACUUUCGACAGUCAAAAAUAAUUUCAUUUCAGAGUACUUUGAGCAUUUAUUUUCUUGAAAAUGGACACCAAUUUACGUUAUUCAUUUGAUCUUGAUUUUUCAAAGCAGUUGACUAAGAUGUACAAUAAUGAUUGCAUAGGAAAGAAUAAAUUUGUAAUUGAGUCUAAAUACAAAUGAUUGCUUCUUGUUGAGUAGUGGUAGAAAGGUGCCUCGAAGUAAGCAACCUCUCCUUAAAAAUCUAGGUGCAUGUCAUUAUUCAUUUAAUAAGCACUUUCUACAUUCUUUAUCAAGGAAUCUGAUUCAAUAGAAAAGACUCACUGCUUUGAAAUCUGGAAAGUACAGAUGUGUUGUCAGCCUGACCUUGAUAUCCUGAAACCUAGUUAGCUCCCUUUCUUGUUGCAUGCUUACCCUGAAAUUUCAGGCUGGUAACUUGCAAUGCACUUCAUUAUGAGGGCAGUUUACAGCAAACUGAAUUACAUUUUGCAAACAGAAUAGCCCAUGCUCACUAGUCUAAACAGAACCUCUGCAAGGACAAUCUUCAUUUACCCCAUGGAGGCCUUCCUGCAUGAGUGUUGUGGCAAUAACUAUUUCAAGACCAAAAUAAUUACCAUGGGCUAUGCAUGUAUCAUAGAAUAGCCUGGGUU